rnacentral:rRNA from 1 species
GUCGAACGAGAACGGGUUAAAGCUUGCUUUAACUGUCAGCUAAGUGGCGCACGGGUAGAGUAAUAUAUAGUUAAUCUGCCCUAGAGAGAGGGAUAACAGUUGAAAACGACUGCUAAUACCUUAUAUGCCUUUAAGUCAUAAGACUGCAAGGGAAACAUUUAUGGCUCUAGGAUGAGACUGUACGGUAUCAGCUAGUUGGUGAGGUAAUGGCUCACCAAGGCAAUGACACCUAACUGGUUUGAGAGGAUGAUCAGUCACACUGGAACUGAGACACGGUCCAGACUCCUACGGGAGGCAGCAGUGGGGAAUAUUGCACAAUGGACGAAAGUCUGAUGCAGCAACGCCGCGUGGAGGAUGACACAUUUCGGUGCGUAAACUCCUUUUAUAUGGGAAGAUAAUGACGGUACUAUAUGAAUAAGCACCGGCUAACUCCGUGCCAGCAGCCGCGGUAAUACGGAGGGUGCAAGCGUUACUCGGAAUCACUGGGCGUAAAGAGCAUGUAGGCGGAUAGAAAAGUCAGAAGUGAAAUCCUAUAGCUCAACUAUAGAACUGCUUUUGAAACUCUUUAUCUAGAAUAUGGGAGAGGUAGAUGGAAUUUCUGGUGUAGGGGUAAAAUCCGUAGAGAUCAGAAGGAAUACCGAUUGCGAAGGCGAUCUACUGGAACAUUAU